GAGUUUGAUCCUGGCUCAGGACGAACGCUGGCGGCGUGCCUAAUACAUGCAAGUCGAGCGGACAGAUGGGAGCUUGCUCCCUGAUGUUAGCGGCGGACGGGUGAGUAACACGUGGGUAACCUGCCUGUAAAAACUGGGAUAACUCCGGGAAACCGGGGCUAAUACCGGAUGGUUGUUUGAACCGCAUGGUUCAAACAUAAAAGGUGGCUUCGGCUACCACUUACAGAUGGACCCGCGGCGCAUUAGCUAGUUGGUGAGGUAACGGCUCACCAAGGCGACGAUGCGUAGCCGACCUGAGAGGGUGAUCGGCCACACUGGGACUGAGACACGGCCCAGACUCCUACGGGAGGCAGCAGUAGGGAAUCUUCCGCAAUGGACGAAAGUCUGACGGAGCAACGCCGCGUGAGUGAUGAAGGUUUUCGGAUCGUAAAGCUCUGUUGUUCGGGAAGAACAAGUACCGUUCGAAUAGGGCGGUACCUUGACGGUACCUAACCAGAAAGCCACGGCUAACUACGUGCCAGCAGCCGCGGUAAUACGUAGGUGGCAAGCGUUGUCCGGAAUUAUUGGGCGUAAAGGGCUCGCAGGCGGUUUCUUAAGUCUGAUGUGAAAGCCCCCCGGCUCAACCCGGGGAGGGUCAUUGGAAAACUGGGGGAACUUGAGUGCAGAAGGAGGAGAGUGGAAAUUCCACGUGUAGCGGUGAAAUGCGGUAGAGAUGUGGAGGACAACAGUGCGAGGCGACUCUUCUGGUCUGUACCUGACGCUGAGGAGCGAAGCGUGAGAGGCGACAGGAAUUAGCAUCCCUGGUAGUCACGCGGUAACGAAUUGAAGUCUCA
rnacentral:rRNA from 1 species